AUGAUCAAAGUGGGCGGUUCAGAGGCAGAUGAGCUCAAUUACAUUACAUUACAUUUAUUCAUUUAGCUGACGCCUUUAACCCUAGCGACUGACAGCUGCUAUACAUGUUAGAGGUCGCACUCCUCAGGAGCAACAAGGGGUUAAGUGUCUUGCUCAGGGACACAAUGGUGGAUGGGUCACAGUGGGAACCGGGGUCUCUCACACCAAGGAUGGCUUUUCAGAGAAACAGCUGGUGGUGGAGAGACUGCACUGCAGGAGUUUAGAUGAUGGCGUCCCAUUAGAGGUGGACAACUUGGUCUAUGUGGAAACUGGUGCAGUGUGAGUCUUGGCAGUGUUGGUGAUAUCCUCCAAAACCAGGCAUACAGAGGCUCUCAAGGCAGCACACACCGUAUGGAUGAUACUGUGCACAGCUUUGCCUGAGGGUAAGACUGACCUUUGGUCAAACCAUCUGUGCACUGAAGAGACAUGAGAUCACAUGAUCUGCCUAUCCACUAUGUCUCCCAGUUAUUGUGUGAUUUAUACUUCACAUUAGUUGCAUACUGUUAGUGGUCCAGUCUUGAAACAGUACUUUUAUGAUUUUUUUUAAUGAUGUCAUAAAAACACUUCAUUAUUUCAUAUUUUCUCCUGAAAUGUUUGUUCCUCUUUCACUCUUUUCCUCCAUGUCAAUCUUGGUCUUUAAGAAUAAAAACACACACCCAUGUACUGUA